GUAAGAAAAUGGCGUUUGAAAAUGUUGAUUCAAUUCAAUUGAAUAAACUGGAACUUGGUUUCUAUCUAGUUUAGCUUCUCGAUUGCAUUCCGAGAAACAGAAUGUUGGCAUGUUUGAAAAAAAGGGAAGAGCGUCUUUAGAUGGCCAGGACGAAAAAAGAAGAGCUGAAAAAGGAAAAUGUUAACGACGUAAAUUUGUUCUCUUUUUCUGUGUGUUGGCGCUCGUGCAGUCGUACCCCCCCCCCCCUCCCCCUUUCCUCUGGACAGGUCUGAACUUGUGUGACCUUGUAUGAGCCCACACACCUCCUCGGUUUGCUAAAAUGUACCCAACCAUUACACUCCCACCACCUCACUUAACCCUUUCACACCUCUAGGAUUUAUUUUCGCAUUGUCGCCCUUCUUUUGUUUUAUCCCCUCAUUAACUUCCGCCCUUGGUCGAAGACUGAGGGAGAAGAAGCAGCGAGGGUAGUCUGGAUCGUUGGCGUGGUGGACAUUGGUGGCUAACAAAUACGAACCAAAAGAGUCAAGUAAAAACAAAAAAUUAAGUGACGAACGCCGUCAGCGACAUGGGAGUCGUUUCAUCAUUACGUGUGAUUUACGCCCCACAAACGAUACGGUAGAAUUGCCUUUGGUUUUCCCGCUCGAUCCGUUCUGAACGGCUUUUUUCUCUCUCUCUCUCCGCCUCUCUGUUUCUCAGUCAGUCUGUCUGUCUCCUUUCCUCUUCUCCACUUCAUUUGCAUUUUUACGAGCCUAUCGAGUUUCAUCGCCGCGAAACAACAUGAAGCGUGUUUCUCAGACACGAUUUCUGAAGCUGUUUUGAAAGCAGCUCUCCUCCAAUUGAUGAGCAAACUGGUGCGGUCUGGUUUCCUUUGUUUGUUGGCACUGGGUUUGUUCUGUUGCCCAGCGACCAUGUUUCUUCUCGUAACUCGUAAAAGCCGAAGCACGAGCUCACGUAGACAUUUAACCCAUACGAUUUUAUUCGGAAGAUGUAGAGAGCCGUGCCUCUUUUCUCUAAAGAGCCACUCCCUGCAAACUUGACCUCUCUUUUCUUAUCUCGAUGCAGACGAGCACCCACUUCCUCGGUGUCUUGAUCUUCUACGUUCGACAUCUAUUUUUAGAUAUCGAGUCAGCACUGUCGGAGUGAGAGAGAGCAAGAACGAACACGUUACACGGCUAAAGUUUGACUCGUACGGCGACCGGGAGGAACCGCCAAGCCGACCAAUGCGGAUGAAAAUGAAUUCCCGGCCCGUCUGAUAAUAACAAUAAAAACAAUCAGAAAUUCUACGACUGUGCAACAACAACAAGAGGCGCAAGGCAACAACAGCAGGGCGUGAUGUUUUUACUUGGCGUUUGCGUUUCUGCUACGACCUACCAUAAGAGAUUACGUCAAAGAGAAACUCGCAACAGACAAAUCGGCGGGGCAACCUGGUUCGGCACAGUGAAAGGUGCGAUUCGCUUUGUGGGUCGUGCUCGCCUUUUUCUAUCUAGAGAAAAACGUUGUGCGCGAGAAAUUCGACGUAACGUGAAACUGGCCGUGCGCACACCGAAGCCGUGGAACGAAGAAAAAGGGAAAUAGAACGAAAGAAAGGCUCGACAGUCAGCCUUUAGCGAUUCGAAAACGUUGCAGAGAUGGCGCGUCGUGACGGCGGAGAAAUAGAAGAACAAGAAAUAUGAACUCUAUCGCGAGAGGCUGCGAGAAAAACGGGCAAGAAAAAGGAGAAAUCAUUAAAUAUUCUAUGCACGAUGGGGCGCGCAUCUUUUAGUUGUUGUCAUUCCGUUUCGUUUUUGUUUGGGGAACGCAUGCGGGACGGGCCGCGCCGCUGCUGAAAUGGGCUACGCAGCGAAAGGCGAAAUGUGCACAACAAAUGGGAAGCGGCCAACGGGAGAAGAGGAGCAGCAACGGCGGCGAACGACAGGCGGCGGCAAGGUGAUAUACAAUAAUAUGCUAAUGCAAUGGUGGACGAUGGACGACUGCUGCACUUUUGUACGCAUAAAUACCACUGGAAGCGAAUGGAAGGAAGUGUCCACCACUGCACGGCAUCGGACGAGACACAACAGAAAUCGAGUGGGUCAGUGGAUGAUGCGACCGGUCGCUCGUCCACGACAUUCCACAACGUCAUCAAAACGAAAACAGAAAAAUAAACAGGGAAAAAGAGAAAAUUCCUUUGCUCAAUCGACUCGUUUUCUCUCCAUUGCUCAAUGUCGUCGAUAUCACAUUCCGAGCCGACAGCCGAUUACCUUAAUCCAGCAGCAGCAGCAGCUAAAGAAAUGCAGCAGCCACGGUCAACAACAGUCGGUCAAUGGCAUCGUUCGAACCGAUUCUUCAACACCCCACGGUUCAACAUUCCUAACUCUACGUCUCUUUCUUUUUUCUUUUUGGAUUCUUUUUGAUCAGACAAGUAAGGGUUUCAACUUGGGACUUGCUAUAUGGUUCACGGACCAAGUUAUUGCAUUGCCUGAUUGGACCUGACGGGGAAACAACAACAAAAAAUGCGAGACGGCGGAUACCUAGGAUCAUCUUCAACCGAUGAUUUAGACUCGAAUAACACAUCAGACAAGCCAAAUAGCGAAUUGAUGUUGGAAAUAUGGACGGAUGCAUCGUACAUUUUGUGUAACGAUUCAUAGAACAAAAGAAUGACUGACCUCGCAAGAGCACUGAACGCACUGAUCGGGGUGUUCCGGUUUGAGGCCGACGUUAGAAGAAGUGAAACGCUCCUUGUGACGAUAGACGUUGCCAUUAUGCAAACAGGUGACGCCAGGUGACGUCGAACUGCCACUCAGAUCCGAAGAGGAGAAAGAAGAGACUGGAACUUCAUCUGGAUAGAGAGAUGCGGGACGUGUUGACGCGGCCAUCAAAGUCGAUGAUUUUGCCUCUUCUUCGUCGCCAGCCGAAAACGAACACGGAUAAAAUAAUUGAACGUUUUGAUCAUUAUUAAAUUAGCACCAUCUUCUUUGAUGACGCAUAAAGGGGCGUGCCAACAACCAAAAGCAACAACUAAUUUGAACGAAAGGCAAGGUGGGAUCUACAUUUCCGACAUCGUCUGGGUGUGAUGCAAACCAGUGGUGAAAAUUCAAGAUUCUUCACUCGUUUUCUCACCGCAGUUUUUGUCAAUUUAGCAAACAUAAAAGCGAUAUAAAUGCAAUGCGUGAAUCUACUAAUUGGUUCACGCCUACAUUCAAUCGAGAAACGAGUCACCUACUUGCGCAGUGGAUGCAGCAUUCGUUAGUGGCGGCAGAUUCGGGCGACGUGCACUCCUCUCCGCCGCAUUCGUGGAUGGUGCAGUUGAUUUUACCGCCCUUUUUUUUAACGCCAAUGCACAGAAAAUCAGCGCAAAAUCCUCGGCUAUUUGUCGACUGUAAAUGACUUUACCUCUUGGCAAAUGCAAGCGACGCAAUGAAGGGCUCCUCGUUGACCGAGUCGUGGGUACCAGACGUCGCCGACCGCGUAAUUCCUCGACGUAAAAGUGCAAGUUGUUGCUGCCGAUGUAUCAGUCGCCGUGACAAGUCCCGACCAAGUUCCUAUUCAAUAUCCAGGGCACGAAACGCCUUAUGUCUCGUGUUACAUUACGGGUGGUCACGCCAUUUUAUAGACGAGACCAGACGAAGCAGAUCCGGUCGACAACACGAUUCUUCUGUUUGUACCUUGUAGACGUGUGUGUGUGUGUACUUUUCUGGCGUCUAGCUCGCGGCUGGUGUUUGGCUGUUGAUUGUGAAAAUGACAACAGCCUUCCUAGUCUACCUCCCGCGUGAUACGUAACCGUGGGUUAAGCAGCUUUAAUCGUUAAACAGCACCAGUUGUAAUCAAUCAAGCUAUUAAUCAAGGCCGUAACACGUUUCGUAAAGUCAAUUCGAGAAACAACCCUGACGGGUUAACGUGACGGGUGAAUCGGACGGGAUUUCCCCGUUUUGACUGUGAAUCAGACAGUUCGCCAACUGCUAAAGUUGAAGCCACGUUGGCGGUAUCGUACCAUUACUGCUUGGUAGCCAACCCUGUCAAAUGAGCUGGGCUGAAACAAUAGCAACACUUGCGCCAACACCUGCCGGAUCUUGAAUAACCAUCGCAACACGAAACAAAAAGGGAAAAAAUGGCCUUGCUAGAGGCAGACUCACAAACCGCUGCCAAUACAGUUGGCGUGAAUCGUUGGUGGAUGUGUUCGGCGAAGGAGAUGCGCCGAUUUGCAAUUCUUCUCCAAGCACAGCCCAAACAAAAAUUCACGCCAGCUGAAUGGAUUAAAAAUAAAGUAUAAAUCCAUCAGUCUAAUAAUAGAUUACAAGACCCAGUAGUAAUGCACCCGAAUGCAUUUCUAUUUUGUUUGCUUAUUUAUUUGGUUUUGCAAACACUGAAGUGGUCGACUUGUCUCUGGUUCUCAGCAUCCAGUCAACCGCAGCCAUUGUCUUGCGUUGGAUGAUGAUGGAUCAUUGUUUUCGUAUCCAAAGAAACGACCGAGCGGGGCGUGGUCGGCUCAUCCACUGGCGUGCUGCUCAAUUGCGGAAUGAUGGCAAUAUCUAUGCAACACACCCUUUGCUUUUCUACUAUUAAGACGGUCUAUUUAUAGAGAAUUCUCAGUAUUGCAUUGGCGGAUGAUUGUGUAGUGCGGUGUUUCUCGGAACCAAGUCUGCCAUCCUCUUACUCACCCAACAGCAUUUUGUCGUUAAAAAUCUGCCAAUUUUCGCCAUUCAAGUCUAAUUGAUGUUGAUUAGUUUUUUUGCUUUCCAAUUGCAUGUCUUAAUCUCGGGUCGUUUUAUUAUUUUAGCAGCGUGCUGUCCUUCUUGAACUGAAAGAAAAGAGUCGACUUUCGGGUCAGCACAAUUCUAUUUUCAGCCCCACGCGCAUCGUUGCAUCUUCCCUUUGUCUUGUCUUGCGGCUUUCACGCAGUUGACGACAUCAACCCGUUUCACGACCUCACCAAAUGUUUUGCUUUUGCGCUGCCCAAAGCCAAGUCCAAUAUAAGAGGAAUAACAAGUU